UACGGAAGGGCGAGCGUUGUUCGGAAUCAUUGGGCGUAAAGGGCGCGUAGGUGGUUCUGUAUGUCUACCGUGAAGCGCUGACGGCCUCAACCGUAUUUUGUCGGUGGAACUGCAGGACGUUGAGGCUGGGAGGGGCUGGUGGAAUUCCCUGUGUAGCGGUGAAAUGCGUAGAGAUGGGGAGAACACUCGUGGCGAAGGCGGCCAGCUAGACCGAGU
rnacentral:rRNA from 1 species